GGUUAGGUAGCCGCUUAGUCAAAAAUAGCUCUCAUGCUGACUCCAGCCCACAGAACAGCAUCCAGGCAAAGUGGGCACAGAUGCACCAGAGCUGGGCACUCGUGGGGAAAUCCCCUUCUUGGUCCUCACCACUGGAAAAUCAUUCAAGAAUGUACAUGGGACUCCAGGGCUGCUGACAGGUGAUGCCCCGUGCUGUCUGGCAGCAGAAAUGUGGCUAUCUCGCUGACGCACAGAAACCAAGGAACCACAGGGAAAUCCAGCGCAAACAUUAAAAGCUUUGUUGAUCUCAUCUCCUCCAAUGAUCUCAGAACUCCUGAAGGAUACUUCCCAAAUCUGGCUUAUCUCCGUGCCCCAGAGUCCAGAGCAGGACUUCAGGUUGCUGACAGCAAUGAGUUAGAUCACUGGUCUGAGAGCUUCUUUCUCAGUGCAGACAUUUCAGCCCCAUCAGUUGCCUCUACCACGCGUGCUGCUGUUCGGGUGCUGUUGCGGGGACUGCGCCCAUCGCAGCCUCCCCACCCAACCCUGAAGGGGCUGCAGUCAAAUCACCAGGUCUUCACACUGCCAGGCACCUGAGGUACCUGUUAGUAUUCUCAGGAAAGCUGAAGAGAGCAGGGUUGGGUCCAUGAUGCUCUGCUGAGCCCAUGCUGUUGUACCCAUGAUGCUCUGCUGCUGUGCCCAUAAUGCUCUGCUGUGCCCUCUGUACCUUGCCUUGCCUCUUCCCCUGGUCUCUGCAGUUCUGGCUGUUCCAGGAGGCAAGGCGAUUCCACCCCAUAUAAAGCGGUCCUGGGGUGGCCUACUGACCUGGAUUCUCCUCUCAGUAUCUUGACUCCAGCCGCCUCCUCUGCCAGACUCCACAUGGCCCAGAUGAUUUCUCCUGCACACGGGAGAAGGAAUCAGAGCAUCUCACAGUCAGGGUGGAGGCCCCAGGGAAGACACCCAUCCGAGGCAUGUUUGCGAAGACUGAUCCGGUUUCAGCCCAUCGUUGUGCAGAUGGGGAAUCUGAGUCUCAGAGUGGAGAUUUAUCCAAAUGUGAGUUCAGUGCCAGAGUAGGACUCCAGCCUGGCUUCCAAUGCAGGGCUUAUUUUAGGGAAGGUUCCCAAAAUGCCCACAUACCAUCAGAGCUACUCCUUCAUGUUGAGAUCUUGAAUCUUCAAAAUAUCCUUCAGAGGAGCUGGUUUUUAGUAUAGAAAUCAAAGAGCAAGUUACAUUUUACUUUAUUUACUGCAAAAACAAAAUUGUAACAAGUGAAAAUACUAAGAGAAGUUAUUUCUACCGCCCCAGUCACAUUUCAUUUGCUCACAUCAUGGCACUCUAACGCGCACACUUCGCAUGUGCGAUUAUACACAGAGCUGUAGUCGUGCACAAACACUGUAUAAUCUUGCUUCGCUUAACGUUGAGCAUGUUUUCCUGGACAUUUGCCAUGUAGCUUUCUACCUUCCACAGAGUAUUUCAUCACACACACCUAUAUCUUCACUGUUCUUAUAAACUACUUCGAAUGCACAGAAAAGCAAAAGGAACAAUACACUACACAGAUUUAGCAAAUAUGACUAUUUACAGAUAUUUUGGGGAGUUUUUAAACAAUGAAACAUUGCCGGCACUAUUGGAGUGCUCUUCUGUACAAUGCACUGUAAUUCUCCCAGGACAAACUACAUCACUUGCCAGGCCCAGUGGAAAAUGAAAAUGCAGGGAAGUGUUCAGAAAUCAUUAUGAAUUUCAAGACGAUGACGGCAGAGCACUUAGCCCAGCACAGGCCCUUCUGAGUGCAGGGCCCAUGUGGCUGCACAGGUGUCCCCCCCGCCCCCCGUCCCAAAGGCAGCCCCGGCUCCCCUUGUGCUCUGACUUACCUAGUACUGAGCUGUGUCUCCGUGGCCCCAGCUCUAUGCUUUUCCUUGUAUGCACAUAUUGACCAACAUUAUGGAGUGUUAUUUUUUAUUUCUAAAAGAUUUUAUGUAUUUAUUCUUAGAGAGAGGGGAAGGGAGGGAGAAAGAGGGGGAGAAAAACAUCAAUUGGUUGCCUCUUGUACAUACUCCGAUUCGGGACUGGGCCUGCAGUUCAGGUGGGUCAGGGCAUUAUGGAGUGUUAUUUUCUGCAUUUAAAAAUAUUGCCUAAGUGACGUUAAUACCGUAUGUGUCCUAAGGCUGCUUGCUUAUUUCACUUAUUCUUUUGUAAUUCUCUGUGCAGAUGCGUAGAUUUUAUUGAUUUCCACUACUGUCUAGUACUCCAGUGUGUGCCUUCACCACAGUUCGUGUU